GAAGGGGGCGAGCGUUAUUCGGAAUCACUGGGCGUAAAGAGUACGUAGGUGGCAAUUUAAGUCAGUCGUUAAAUAUCACGGCUUAACCGUGAAGGUGCGAUUGAUACUGGAUAGCUAGAGGGCAAGAGAGAGAAGUGGAAUUCCCGGAGUAGCGGUAAAAUGCGUAGAUCUCGGGAGGAACACCGAUUGCGAAGGCAGCUUCUUGGCUUGCUACUGACACUGAGGUACGAAAGCGUGGGGAGCAAACAGGGAUUAGAUACCCUGGUAGUCCACGCCGUAAACGAUGAUCACUAGAUGUGGGUUGGCUUCGCGCCGAUCUGUGUCGUAGCUAACGCGUUAAGUGAUCCCGCCUGGGGAGUACGAUCGCAAGAUUAA
rnacentral:rRNA from 1 species